GAUGAACGCUGGCGGCGUGCUUAAAACAUGCAAGUCGACCGAAAAGCCCAGGAGUUUGUGCUCUGGCCGUUAGGGGAGGCGGGGUGUGAAACGCGUGGAAACCGUCCUUGAAUGCCGGGGAAAAUUUGGGAAACCGGGAGAAAAUCCGGGAGAAGAUAUUGAACCGCUGGGUGAAUUGGUAAAUAACGGUUUUCUGGUACCUAAUAGCUGGUUCUCGGCUGUUUUAGCUAGUUGUUAAGUUAACGGGUUACCAAGGCAAGCAGGCGUAGCCGACUUGAGGGGGUGAUCGGCCACACUGGAACUGAGACACGGUCCAGACUACUAAGGGAGGCAGCAGUAGGGAAUCUUCCGCAAUGGGCGAAAGCCUGACGGAGCAACGGCGCGUGAGUGAUGAAGGUCCUCGGAUCGUAAAACCCUGUUAUGAGGGAAGAACAAAUGUGUAAGUAACUAUGCACGUCUUGACGGUACCUAAUCAGAAAGCACCGGCUAACUACGUG
rnacentral:rRNA from 1 species